rnacentral:rRNA from 1 species
AUUGAACGCUGGCGGCAUGCCUUACACAUGCAAGUCGAACGGUAACAGGUCUUCGGAUGCUGACGAGUGGCGAACGGGUGAGUAAUACAUCGGAACGUGCCCGAUCGUGGGGGAUAACGAGGCGAAAGCUUUGCUAAUACCGCAUACGAUCUACGGAUGAAAGCGGGGGAUCUUCGGACCUCGCGCGGACGGAGCGGCCGAUGGCAGAUUAGGUAGUUGGUGGGAUAAAAGCUUACCAAGCCGACGAUCUGUAGCUGGUCUGAGAGGAUGAUCAGCCACACUGGGACUGAGACACGGCCCAGACUCCUACGGGAGGCAGCAGUGGGGAAUUUUGGACAAUGGGCGAAAGCCUGAUCUAGCCAUGCCGCGUGCAGGAUGAAGGCCUUUGGGUUGUAAACUGCUUUUGUACGGAACGAAAAGCCUCUUUCUAAUAAAGAGGGGUCAUGACGGUACCGUAAGAAUAAGCACCGGCUAACUACGUG